rnacentral:rRNA from 1 species
GAGUUUGAUCCUGGCUCAGAACGAACGCUGGCGGCGUGCUUAACACAUGCAAGUCGAACGUGAUUGAGAGCUUGCUCUCAUGAAAGUGGCGCACGGGUGAGUAACACGUGGAUAAUCUGCCUGGCGAUUCGGGAUAACACUUCGAAAGGGGUGCUAAUACUGGAUAAGCCUACGGGCUCUUCGGAGUCUGCAGGAAAAGGAGGCCUCUAUUUAUAAGCUUCCGUAUCAUGAUGGGUCCGCGUACCAUUAGCUAGUUGGUGGGGUAAUGGCCUACCAAGGCGACGAUGGUUAGCUGGUCUGAGAGGAUGAUCAGCCACACUGGAACUGAGACACGGUCCAGACUCCUACGGGGGGCAGCAGUGGGGAAUUUUGCGCAAUGGGGGAAACCCUGACGCAGCAACGCCGCGUGAGUGAUGAAGGCUUUCGGGUCGUAAAGCUCUGUCAGAGGGGAAGAAAUGAGUCUGGCUAAUAUCCAGAUUUCUUGACGGUACCCUCAAAGGAAGCACCGGCUAACUCCGUGCCAGCAGCCGCGGUAAUACAAGGGCSAACSCMAAAR